rnacentral:rRNA from 1 species
GAUGAACGCUGGCGGCGUGCCUAAUACAUGCAAGUCGAACGCUGGAAAUCUAGCUUGCUAGAUUGAAGGAGUGGCGAACGGGUGAGUAAUACAUAAGCAACCUACCCACGAAGACUGGGAUAAUCUCUGGAAACGGGGAUUAAUACCGGAUAGGUAAUCGGAAGGCAUCUUCUGAUUAUUAAAGGUUAAAAACACUGGUGGUUGGGCUUAUGGCGGAUUAGUUAGUUGGUGAGGUAACGGCCCACCAAGACGAUGAUUCGUAGCCGGCCGGAGAGGGUGAACGGCCACAUUGGGACUGAGACACGGCCCAGACUCCUACGGGAGGCAGCAGUAGGGAAUUUACAGCAAUGGAGGAAACCCUGACCGAGCAACGCCGGGUGAGUGAUGACGGCCUUCGGGUUGUAAAGCUCUGUUGUAAGAGAAGAACGGUAGAUAGAGAAUAUCUAAAUGACGGUACCUUACCAGAAAGCCACGGCUAACUACGUG